rnacentral:rRNA from 1 species
GACGAACGCUGGCGGCGUGCUUAACACAUGCCAGUCGAACGGAAAGGCCCUGCUUUUGUGGGGUGCUCGAGUGGCGAACGGGUGAGUAACACGUGAGUAACCUGCCCUUGACUUUGGGAUAACUUCAGGAAACUGGGGCUAAUACCGGAUAGGAGCUCCUGCUGCAUGGUGGGGGUUGGAAAGUUUCGGCGGUUGGGGAUGGACUCGCGGCUUAUCAGCUUGUUGGUGGGGUAGUGGCUUACCAAGGCUUUGACGGGUAGCCGGCCUGAGAGGGUGACCGGCCACAUUGGGACUGAGAUACGGCCCAGACUCCUACGGGAGGCAGCAGUGGGGAAUAUUGCACAAUGGGCGGAAGCCUGAUGCAGCAACGCCGCGUGCGGGAUGACGGCCUUCGGGUUGUAUACCGCUUUCGCCUGUGACGAAGCGUGAGUGACGGUAAUGGGUAAAGAAGCACCGGCUAACUACGUG